AACACAUGCAAGUCGAACGCGAAAGGGACUUCGGUCCUGAGUAAAGUGGCGCACGGGUGAGUAACGCGUAGAUAACCUGUCUUCAUGUCUGGAAUAAUACGCCGAAAGGGGUACUAAUACCGGAUAUUCUUGCUUUUCAUAAGUUAUGCAAGCAAAGGUGGCCUCUGCAUAUGCUACUGCAUGAAGAGGGGUCUGCGUACCAUUAGCUAGUAGGUGGGGUAAUGGCCUACCUAGGCGACGAUGGUUAGCGGGUCUGAGAGGAUGAUCCGCCACACUGGCACUGGAACACGGGCCAGACUCCUACGGGAGGCAGCAGUGAGGAAUAUUGCGCAAUGGGGGAAACCCUGACGCAGCGACGCCGCGUGAGUAGGAGGAAGGCCUUCGGGUCGUAAAGCUCUGUCAAGAGGAAAGAAGUGUACAAUGGCUAAUACCUGUUGUAUUUGACGGUACCUCUAAAGGAAGCACCGGCUAACUCCGUGCCAGCCGCCGC
rnacentral:rRNA from 1 species